GGGCACAUGGUGUAGUUGGUUUAUCACGCCCGCUUAGCAUUUGUCUUGGUCGUGCGGGAGGUGUUGGGUUCAAUUCCCAAUGUGUCCA